rnacentral:rRNA from 1 species
UACAGAGGUCUCAAGCGUUGUUCGGAUUCAUUGGGCGUAAAGGGCGCGUAGGCGGCGAGGUAAGUCUGGUGUGAAAUCUAGGAGCUCAACUCCUAAACUGCACUGGAUACUGCUUUGCUUGAGGACUGGAGAGGAGAUUGGAAUUCACGGUGUAGCAGUGAAAUGCGUAGAUAUCGUGAGGAAGACCAGUGGCGAAGGCGGAUCUCUGGACAGUUCCUGACGAUGAGGCGCGAAGGCCAGGGGAGCAAACGGG